AGUGAACGCUGGCGGUAGGCCUAACACAUGCAAGUCGAACGGCAGCACAGUAAGAGCUUGCUCUUACGGGUGGCGAGUGGCGGACGGGUGAGGAAUACAUCGGAAUCUACUUUUUCGUGGGGGAUAACGUAGGGAAACUUACGCUAAUACCGCAUACGACCUACGGGUGAAAGCAGGGGAUCUUCGGACCUUGCGCGAUUGAAUGAGCCGAUGGCGGAUUAGCUAGUCGGCGGGGUAAAGGCCCACCAAGGCGACGAUCCGUAGCUGGUCUGAGAGGAUGAUCAGCCACACUGGAACUGAGACACGGUCCAGACUCCUACGGGAGGCAGCAGUGGGGAAUAUUGGACAAUGGGCGCAAGCCUGAUCCAGCCAUACCGCGUGGGUGAAGAAGGCCUUCGGGUUGUAAAGCCCUUUUGUUGGGAAAGAAAAGCAGCAGGUUAAUACCCCGCUGUUCUGACGGUACCCAAAGAAUAAGCACCGGCUAACUUCGUG
rnacentral:rRNA from 1 species